CCAUGAUGGGGUUUUGAGGCUGGCCUAUGUCUGAGCAGCUUAGGGCAAGAGGGUCUUCCAAGCACACCCUCCCACACUCUGAGAGCUCAUGGGAGGGUCCAAGGUGCUGAGAACACUUUCAGGGAUGAUGAGCCAACAGAGCAAAGAGGUGUUUUCUCAGAGUUAAAAUAUAAUCGUGUGUCCUCGAACUCUGGUGACGCAGAAUUGAGCUGCAGAGGCCAAGCGUGAGUGUGAGGGAAGAUCCACACGCACAAGCGCGCAGUACUGCAGAGCAGAGCCCUAAGGGAAGGAAAAUGUUCCGAAAUCCAUUGUGGUGAUGGCCACACAAGGCUAUGGAUAUACAAAAACCCAUUGAAUUGUAUGUUUUCGUGGACAAAUUGUUUAGUUAUAUGAAAAAUAUCUCAACUGUCUCAAAAACAUCAAAACUGUCCUCAAAAGAAGAUGGUGUGUUUCACAGAGCGCUUGUGUUGCGGAUCUGUCUAGCACUCUCUGGUCAGCUUGCAGGCGGGUGCUGGACAAGGAUGAAGAAGCAACACUGAUGGACCAGGAGGCUGUGGCUCAAAGCCCCUACACCCAAGCCAGGAAUAAUGAAGCUUUGCCAGCUUGGAAGCCACUACUUCAAGUUUCUUGAGGUUUUCCACAGCACGGUCCAACUUGCAAUAGGAUUUCCAAGCUCCCAGUGUAGCCAAAUAAAUAUGCCACAUAUUUAAUUGUAAGUGUUAUGUAAGGAUUGACGUGCCGUAAGACACCAGGAGCAAACGGCGCCUCCGAUACUCAAACCUCUUCAAAGGAAUCAAGGGGCCUAAAGUCAGAAGGCUGAGACUGACAAUGGGACCACUGUCCGCCUUUGCCACGGGUGUCCUUCCUCGCUGUUUCUCUGUCGCCAUCAGGUCUUGUGUGCCUCUGUUAACAUCAGCCUGCAUUGAACAUG